rnacentral:sRNA from 1 species
UUUUUGUCCCACAUCGGAACUAUAACUCGUUGGAGACCUAUCGAGACUACUAUAAGAAAGUGAUAGACAGCAUCUGGAAUACUUGCCUUAAACUAAUGAGUAAGGAAAACAAAGCGUCCGGUGAGAACCGGUCGCGGCGCUAAUCGUAAAACACAAAAUUGGCGCAAUAAUUUAUGGAGGGGUUAUAGGCUGGCCGAUGUGUUGACGCUGCUUACUUUUGCAGAACUCACCUCGUGCGGGCCUCCCUACACCCAUCCCCCAAUCAUCCCUAGUUCCCAAAACUUUCUGAUUAUUGCAAAAAAGUAAAUGAAUUUUCGAAGAUUUUGAGGCCAUUAGUGGGAUUUAGGGUUUCAUAAUCGCAUUUUGGGAUUAAGCAAUCUGUGAUUUGAGAUUUCGAUUGCAUCUUU